CCCAUGUUCACCGCUAUUUACUAUUUAUAAAGGUUGAUUGUAAAUUGCAAAAUCAUUCACAAAAGUGGACAGUAUUGGUUUCCUACUCAAAACAGGGCCAGGUCUCUAUUUUACCGUUUUGAUCCUUUCAAUUCAAUUCUCAAUUGUCUUCAAUGUGACACAAGUCUCAGAAAAUCAAAUGGGUACAUUAUCUAUGAACAAGAACAACCUAAAUGGAAGCAAGAUUGAAAAGUGGAAGCAAAAAGAGUUGUCUUUUCUUGUGGCAUAUUCAAUUGUUUUCUUUAUCAUCUUCAUCGCCCGUUCCCUUCAACUUUCUCUUGUUAAUAUUAAUAUAUAUCUCUUGUUUCACACCAAAGAUUGUUUCUUUUUAUUGUGUUUUAUGUUAUCAUCUCAUUGUGCUUUUAUUGUUUUGAUUUUCGUAGAUCAUUACACCCAACUUUAUGGCUUGCGCCAAGAAUGGCUCAUACCCAAUCACCUUAAUGUAUAUGAUCUUUCUAUCUUGUUAGAAGAAAAGAAUGAUUUUGAUAAAGAAAAGAAGAAUGUAGAAGCAGUUACAAAUUGUUCAACAUUGCAGAGAAAAAAAAAUGGAUGAUUGAAGUGAAUGAGUUCUUGCUUUGCUUUUUGGUUCUUAUUUCAAUGAAGAUGAAAUUAGUUUUGGUCUGUCGUUUUUAGUUCUUUCUGUUUCUUCCCUGAGUCGUUUUGUUCUUUAGAUGUUUCGGGUUAACCAAAGGUUACUAUAAAUAACUGUUUUACCCUCUUUUUCAGUGUUAUUGUUCCUUUAUGUCAAAAAACAAAACCCUAAAACCGUUACAGCGAAGCAGAAAUAACAGAAAUAUGAAUCAAAGUGUAAGAACUAGGGUUAACCCGAAACAUCUAAAGAGGGUAAAACAACUACAACUAUCAUAAUCAAGAUAAUAAAACGUUUUUUUUCUUCUUCUUUGAUUGGCAUGGAGAUGAAAAAUCAACAAGUUCUUUGAGUUUUCAUCAAUGGAGGUUUCUAUUCUUUAACAAUGGUAUCAAGAGCAAACAGUUUCACCUUCACAUCUCUGAUAAACAGAAGCUAUCAGUGAUUCAAAUCACUUCCUCUCUUUCGUCCCUUCUUCCAUUCUUCUUCUUCUUCAAUCGCAUCUCCUCAAUGUCAUCAAGCUCCGCAUCUCUGGAAAUUCUUCAAAUUAAUUCUCUUUGGGUUCUUGCUGUCCAGUUCUCACAUUUUCUUUGAAUUAAAUCAAGUUUCAGUGAGUUCCCUUAUUUCCUUCUUGAUUUUUUUCUGUUCCUUGCUCAAAUGGAAAAUAGAACCAUCCAAUUGGCCAACCCUAUGCAAGAUCCAUCUCCCCCUAUUAUAUGCAUGCUAAUGAAAAUUCAGGGGCCAGCCUAGUUUCUAAGCUCCUUAAUGGUGAUAAUUAACAUUCUUGGUCACAAGCAGUGACUAUGUCACUCAAAUCCAAGAAUAAAUUGCAAUUUAUGGACGGUUCUAUCCCAAAACCACCAAUUCAGGAUCCCAACUUUAAUGCCGGGGACAAAUGCAACACUUUGGUUGUAUCAUGGUUGAUUCAGUCAAUAGACACAUCAUAGUGCAAAGUAUUUUGUCGAUGGAGUCUGCUCUUGAGAUAUGGCUGAUAUCUAUCUUAUGUUCUUUUAGAGUAAUCUAACACUUGUAAAAUUUUAUGACACCAUGCAAGUGCAAUAAUCAAUAUUUCUAAGUUCAAUAUUCUUCUGACAUUUGUGGAAGACACUUUAAUGUCAUAAAAAAUCUAGUGGUCGUAAAUAAAAACCAAUGCUAAAAAUAUUUUGUUUUACUUACUUUAUUUUAUAAUUAAUUGUAUAUCUGAGUUGCUGCUUAAGCAGUUUCUUAUACUUGUUUGAUAAGGGAGGGUAGAUAUUAUUGCAUGUAUUCCUCUCAUUCAUUUCAAUCAAUGUGACCAUUGUUCUUACUCUUGUCUUUAGAAUUUUCACUCUGCUUGCAAAUUUGAUUAGAGCUUUUUUAAUUUGAAAAUGGGGGGAAUGUCCACUGUGGCUUUUAUUUUCUUUGGCCUACAAUUCAUUUUUAUGUUUCUAAAUUUGAUUAGAUAUUAUUGUUCUUACUCUUGUCAUAUCUGCAUGGAGCAUGGUACAGUUCAUUUUUCUGUUUUGAACAUUUAGUAUUUUUUAUUUCACUGUU
rnacentral:lncRNA from 1 species